UCUCGAUAGAAGUUUUCCUAUUUGUCUAGAGAUUACAGAGUUGUCUACGAUUUAUUACUACAGCACAGCUUCCAAAAGUCAGAGUACAUCACUGUAUCUACUACUGCUGGAUGUUUCUAGACAUGUAAAGUUUCCAUUAAAUAUAUCCACAUUCUGAGACAUAAAGUAUCAUCUUUUUAAUCCUUUGGAUAUUGAGUUCUUUCAGCACUCCUUGCUCUUCCAAUCAAGCGUCACAAGUCUCAUAAAACCUAUUGACCUGUUUGAAUACAAAAUCAUAAUAACAAAUAUCUUGGCUGGGUAAGACAUAGAGGGCUCUGUGCUAUGUAUAAUCUAUAGGAAGGUGGAGAAAUUAAAGGCCCUUACAAGGUAUGUGUAGUAAAUCCAGUAUAUUUAAAGAAAUUACAAUUGGUUCCUGGAGGUUUGGUGAGACAAAAAGGUAGUCUGACACAAACAGUUCACAGACAAGAAUUCAUUACUCAGACUGAGUUGAUAUGGAGGUUGGAUGUUGCCGAAGAACAUUUGGAUCCAGUGUGUCCCUUGUAAAUAUUAUUGUAACUGAGAAAGGGUUCUUCUUCUGGGGGUGCUUCCACCAAGCCAUCAGGACACAGCAGAAUUUCCACAGAUACCAGGAGAGAUAUAUUAGAAAAGAUAAACAGUCUGCAGCAACCAACCAGCUACUCAAAUGAGUUAAUAACAAAGACUCAAGAAAGACCUUUGAGAAGAAAAAAAAAAAAAAAAAGAUAUCUUCUAAAGGAGAUUUUUUUGCAAAUACAGCUGACAUUCUCUAAUGCUGUCAGUAAAAAAAACACACAUCAAAAUCCAGAGGAAAAUGAUAUAUGAUGUAGUUUAUACGAACGAACAACAACAAAAAAAUGACAUUCUGAAAUGAUAUAAUGAAACAAAUCAAGAACUUCUGCAGACUGAAUUUGUAUACUGUCCUUUGAAUUUAAAGAAAUGUUAAUUGCCUUAUUUUAUGGCCAGCUCUAGAAAAGAAAAUAAACUUCCUGACAACACUUAUUUUUUGACCCCA
rnacentral:lncRNA from 1 species